GAGAGGCGGUUCGCUGAUUUGCAUCCAAGGCAUCUGAGAGAUUCAUCACGGGGUCCUACUGUGAUCAUUCAACGAUCCAAAAAUCAAGUGGGUCUAUAUAUCCGAUGGGCCGCCUAUUGGCUAUGACUACGGAAUGUUGGAGAUGAGGAAUCUGAGCAAUUCAUCAGGCCCAGACUCAUUGUGUGGCCAGUGCAUGCUAUGUGGCCCAGAUCUCUCAUGCAUGCCACGUUUGCAACUCGCCUUCAACCUUUCCUCAUGUGGACCUGCUGCUAUUUUUACAAGGUUAUUCUAACCGUUGGAUCUAGGAUCAUGUUGCAAUAAUCCAAACCACUUAUAUGAUGUGCCCCACAAUGGAUGGAUAAUACAAUUAAAAUCUUCAGGAUUGUAAUAUCCUAUCAAAUAAAUUAUCAAAGUGUUGAAUAUUGCAA